UUCCCAGACUCCUACGGGAGGCAGCAGUGAGGAAUAUUGGUCAAUGGGCGGAAGCCUGAACCAGCCAAGUCGCGUGAGGGAAGAAGGCCCUGCGGGUCGCAGACCUCUUUGGACGGGGAGCAAGGCCGCCGACGUGUCGGCGGAAGGAGAGUACCCGUAGAACAAGCAUCGGCUAACUCCGUGCCAGCAGCCGCGGUAAUACGGAGGGUGCGAGCGUUAAUCGGAAUUACUGGGCGUAAAGCGCUCGUAGGCGGUAUGUCAAGUCAAGGGUGAAAUCCCCGCGCUCAACGUGGGAACUGCCUUUGAAACUGGCAAACUGGAGUGUGUGAGAGGAUAGUGGAAUUCCAGGUGUAGGAGUGAAAUCCGUAGAUAUCUGGAGGAACAUCAGUGGCGAAGGCGACUAUCUGGCACAUAACUGACGCUGAGGAGCGAAAGCGUGGGUAGCAAACAGGAUUAGAUACCUCGUA
rnacentral:rRNA from 1 species